rnacentral:rRNA from 1 species
UGGGAACUGCAUCUGAUACUGGCAAGCUUGAGUCUCGUAGAGGGGGGUAGAAUUCCAGGUGUAGCGGUGAAAUGCGUAGAGAUCUGGAGGAAUACCGGUGGCGAAGGCGGCCCCCUGGACGAAGACUGACGCUCAGGUGCGAAAGCGUGGGGAGCAAACAGGAUUAGAUACCCUGGUAGUCCACGCCGUAAACGAUGUCGACUUGGAGGUUGUGCCCUUGAGGCGUGGCUUCCGGAGCUAACGCGUUAAGUCGACCGCCUGGGGAGUACGGCCGCAAGGUUAAAACUCAAAUGAAUUGACGGGGGCCCGCACAAGCGGUGGAGCAUGUGGUUUAAUUCGAUGCAACGCGAAGAACC